GUUUAGACUCGUGGCGAAAAGCUCAGUAACACGUGGUCAAACUACCCUACGAAGACCCAUAACCUCGGGAAACUGAGGCUAAUAGGUCAUAGGAGAGUCACGCUGGAAUGCCGACUCUCCCAAACGCUCAGGCGUCGUAGGAUGUGGCUGCGGCCGAUUAGGUAGACGGUGGGGUAACGGCCCACCGUGCCGAUAAUCGGUACGGGUUGUGAGAGCAAGAGCCCGGAGACGGAAUCUGAGACAAGAUUCCGGGCCCUACGGGGCGCAGCAGGCGCGAAACCUUUACACUGCACGCAAGUGCGAUAAGGGGACCCCAAGUGCAGGGCAUAUAGUCCUCGCUUUUUCCGACCGUAAGGUGGUCGGCGAAUAAGGGCUGGGCAAGACCGGUGCCAGCCGCCGCGGUAAUACCGGCAGCCCAAGUGAUGACCGAUAUUAUUGGGCCUAAAGCGUCCGUAGCCGGCCAUGAAGGUUCAUCGGGAAAUCCGCCAGCUUAACUGGCGGGCGUCCGGUGAAAACCACGUGGCUUGGGACCGGAAGGCUCGAGGGGUACGUCCGGGGUAGGAGUGAAAUCCCGUAAUCCUGGACGGACCACCGAUGGCGAAAGCACCUCGAGAAGACGGAUCCGACGGUGAGGGACGAAAGCUAGGGUCUCGAACCGGAUUAGAUACCCGGGUAGUCCUAGCUGUAAACGAUGCUCGCUAGGUGUGGCACAGGCUACGAGCCUGUGCUGUGCCGUAGGGAAGCCGAGAAGCGAGCCGCCUGGGAAGUACGUCCG
rnacentral:rRNA from 1 species